GAUGAAGAACGUAGCGAAAUGCGAUAAGUAAUGUGAAUUGCAGAAUUCAGUGAAUCAUCGAAUCUUUGAACGCACAUUGCGCCCGCCAGUAUUCUGGCGGGCAUGCCUGUUCGAGCGUCAUUUCAACCCUCAGGCCCCCAGUGCCUGGUGUUGGGGAUCGGCCCAGCCUUCCUGUAAGGCCGCCGGCCCCGAAAUCUAGUGGCGGUCUCGCUGUAGUCCUCCUCUGCGUAGUAGCACAACCUCGCAGUUGGAACGCGGCGGUGGCCAUGCCGUUAAACACCCCACUUCUGAAUGUUGACCUCGGAUCAGGUAGGAAUACCCGCUGAACUUAAGCAUAUCAAUAAGCGGAGGA
rnacentral:misc_RNA from 1 species